rnacentral:rRNA from 1 species
UACGUAGGGUGCGAGCGUUAAUCGGAAUUACUGGGCGUAAAGCGUGCGCAGGCGGUCCGCUAAGACCGAUGUGAAAUCCCCGGGCUUAACCUGGGAACUGCAUUGGUGACUGGCGGGCUAGAGUAUGGCAGAGGGGGGUAGAAUUCCACGUGUAGCAGUGAAAUGCGUAGAGAUGUGGAGGAAUACCGAUGGCGAAGGCAGCCCCCUGGGCCAAAACUGACGCUCAUGCACGAAAGCGUGGGGAGCAAACAGG